rnacentral:tRNA from 1 species
AGCCCCGUAGUGUAGUGGUCAAUCAUGUGGGACUCUGGAUCCUUCGACGGCAGUUCGAAUCUGCCCGGGGCUA